rnacentral:rRNA from 1 species
ACGCUCGACACCUACGGGAGGUAGCAGUGGGGAAUAUUGCACAAUGGGGGAAACCCUGAUGCAGCGACGCCGCGUGAGCGAAGAAGUAUUUCGGUAUGUAAAGCUCUAUCAGCAGGGAAGAAACUGACGGUACCUGACUAAGAAGCACCGGCUAAAUACGUGUCAGCAGCCGCGGUAAUCUGAGCGGGCUGGCAAGGC